UCAGUAGCCUAGUGGUAAUGGUCACGAGCCCUGGCAUGAGUUGUUAAGUCUCGGGUUCGAAUCCUGAUACUGAAGAG